rnacentral:lncRNA from 1 species
UUCUGCUUGUCUUACCUGAGGCGAUGCCGCAUGUGAUAGCACAGGAUGAAUGUUUCUGAACACAAAAAGACGGCGCUGUUAGGCCACACCUGCAGAACAAACCUAGGAUUUUCAGAAGGAAGUCUUUGGAACUGGCUCUGGUCCAGCGUUUCCCAGCAGCGCUCCGUGGAGCAUCAAUCCCCCAGCAAGCUCAGAAAACAAGGGACAUGUGAAGAGGGAAACAGGCUGGAAAGGUGACGUGACUUGCUGAAGCUAAGGAGUACCAGACCCAGGCUUGACGGAGCCCCUCUCCACUUCUGGGUCACAGCUCUUUCCAUUUCUCCCUGCUUUCCCCUCUGGGUUUCUGUUACUUCUAAAAGACUCAGAGGGAAAGUUCUAAAAUUGGACCAAUGGGACGUUUUUAGCUCUUACCAGGCAGAUUUUUCCACAGAGCUUCAGAAACUUCCUGUCGUUCCAGUGCUGCGAUCUCAAGAGCCCAGGCUCGUUGCCAGGUGAUUGCUAUGCUGGCUGUUAGUUAAACGCAGUCCAGGUAAAAUGAAAUUUUGUUCAAGGGACACCGCUUUCUAUUUUCCAAGGAUGCUACUAAAUGGUCACUCCUUCUUCCAUAUUUAU